GGGCGAAACUUCGGGGGCCAGAUGCCCGAGGGCGCGGCGGCGCUGCCAGGCUGCCGCUGCUGCCCCUGCGGGCCCUGGGCGCGUCUCCGCAGGCGGCGCUGCUCGCGGCGCGGCGUGUGCACCGAGCGAGUGAAGGUAUGUGUGGCGGGCGCGGCUGGAGCUGCCGCCGCCGCCGCCGCGCCAGCAGGUCCUAAUGCCUGUCACUUCCCAGGACGCUGGCAGCGGCAGCCCGGAGCCCCCGAGCCCUCGGCAGGUCUGCCUGUCCUUCCCCGCGAUCUGAUUGGAUAAAGUGGGGGCUCGACGGUGGCCGACGUGGGACAGUCUGGCUGUGGCAGGGGUCUCGGAAACCAUGGGUUAUUGCAGUGGCAGGUGCACGCUUAUCUUUAUCUGUGGCAUGCAACUGGUUUGUGUGCUGGAGAGACAAAUAUUUGAUUUCCUUGGAUAUCAGUGGGCACCUAUCCUGGCAAAUUUUGUACAUAUUAUUAUCGUCAUUCUUGGUUUAUUUGGAACUAUUCAAUAUAGACCUCGUUACAUAACAGGAUAUGCUGUCUGGCUAGUCCUCUGGGUUACGUGGAAUGUGUUUGUUAUCUGCUUCUAUUUGGAGGCUGGGGACCUCUCAAAGGAAACAGACCUUAUCCUGACUUUUAAUAUUUCAAUGCACCGAUCUUGGUGGAUGGAGAAUGGACCAGGAUGUAUGGUGACAUCAGUGACACCCGCCCCAGACUGGGCCCCAGAGGACCAUCGCUACAUCACGGUCUCAGGGUGUUUUCUGGAGUACCAGUACAUAGAAGUGGCUCAUAGUUCCCUCCAGAUUGUCCUCGCACUGGCAGGGUUCAUCUACGCCUGUUAUGUUGUGAAAUGUAUAACUGAAGAAGAGGACAGCUUUGAUUUCAUAGGUGGCUUUGACUCUUAUGGCUAUCAAGGUCCUCAGAAGACAUCUCAUUUACAACUACAGCCUAUGUACAUGCAAAUUCCCUUGGAUAACAACUGAUAACAAAUUCUAUAUAUCAGCAUCAAGUGAUAUGCUGAAUUGCAAGCGAAGAUCAAAAUAGAAAGUCAAAAUAACACAGAUGGCUUCAGUAUGUCAGCCCAUGGACCUUUCAAAGAACUUGUUUCGCAGUGGCCUCCUGCAUUUUAUGAAGAACAAGAAGCAACCGAGUUUUAAUAUGUAUACAUAUUAACAAAAGAAACACAAAGCCUCUACAGAUACUGAGACCCUCGCGGACACACACACACACACACGCACACGCACACGCAUACACGAGCACGCACACACCAAUUCCACUUGACCUCCUCUUUCUAACUGAAACAAAUAUGCAGGACACGCCCAUCUCGGAUUUCCUGAAAAGCAGGCUCCUUUCUCCCAGGCCUUUGGAAAGUUCAAAAGGAGAUGUGAUGGUGCCCUCUGCUGGCCGUUACUAACUCCUCUGCAGCCCAGCCAGUCGGCCUCUGUGAGCUGCGAAGUCAUCCAGGGCACAUUAGUUUGCGAGCUCUGUCUUCUGCACUCCGUACAUCUUGAUAGCACCACGGCUACUUAGGCAGUGUAAUUGCAAAAACUAACAAACAAAACAGGCCAUGAUGACCUUGUAACCGAAGUCCGCGAUGGCAGAUUGUUUGCCUGAAAGGCUGUACCGUACAUACUUGCCUUAACCCCACCUACGUUGUGUGCCCGAGAAUCUCAGUGCAGACAUCCCCAAAUCACUUCCUUUAGGCUAACACACUGCUAUUAAUUCUGAAUGAGUUCGAGUCUGUGUGUUUCAUGUCAAGGAACAGCACUGAAUAGUGCAGCAGCUCCAGUGUAGAGUGUGUCUGUAAAAGAAAACUGCCAGCUGUCAGCAAAGUGCUUUACCAUUAGAGCCUCCCUGGUGGCCAAAAAGAGACAAGUAACAAUAACAACAACAGUAAUAAUCGUCGUCUUUAUAAUUCUUAAAUAUGGUCGUCUGAUGGGGUUAGGGUGGGACAAAGUAAAACUUAUUAAUCUACUAAACUCAUUAAUCUAUUGGAAGCAGAAAGCAGAAAUGGCUUAACUCACUGAUUUUAUUUAUUGCACUCUAGGUGCUUUUAUAAGUAUCUGCAAACGUCUUUUACUAACACAGAAACAGCUGUGGAUUUCUAUCAACAGAGGCCAACUGAAUAUGUAUUAGCUAUGUUUACUCUUUUAUAUCUAAUUCAAAUUGAAGACCCUAUGUAGGUGAACUUUUUUUUCUAACUAGCGUACGAGAUUAUUUUUUGGGUGGGUGGGGGGAGCAAUAGUUACCUUGGUGAAAUAUUUGAGAUCUCUUUGUGGUAUUUGGGGGAUCCGUUGUGUGUUAGAGUGUAUUUCAAUCCUCCUGUAUUAUUGUGGCAGAAAAACUGUGCUGUUAACGUAGUUGGCAACAAGAUGCCUUUGGAAACUUAAUAGUAGGUCAAUGUGUUUAUGAAAUAUUCUGAACUCCUAGGAAAUUUUGUUCUAUAUUUUCAAGCAUUAUUUGGUUUUCAUGAGUAGAAAACAUACUUAGCUCAGGCUUAUCAGGAACUCAGAUGAGUCAUUUUUUUUUUCUUGAAUCCACCUUUGACACUAAAAUCUCUUUUUUUUAAAAGUAACACACCAUCCUUAAGUACAGUGAAAUUCAGAAGUUAUAAAUUGGCAUGGAUCAAGUUCUCUUCUUUGGUUUCUAUGAAGUUUCAGUUAUUGGGUUAACCUAUUUUGGACCUUAGCCCAACCAGAACUGCAUAAACCAGUCCCAUUACUGUGUUUGCAUGGAUGUCUGUAAUAUACACAUACAUAUACAUUUGAAAAUGAUAAAGGAACAAAGACUUAUCAUUGGAACAUAAACUAAAAAGAAGAUUCCAGCACUUGUGCUUGAAUUUUCUCAGUGGCUUGUAUAUGUUUGUCCAUACAUACAUGUAUAAAGUAUACAAUUGCAAACAUGUCAGUGAAACCUCAUAUGAUGUUUUUAUGGUGACAUGCAUGUUUAAUGUAUGAGAAAAAUAUUUACCAAUGUAUUGUCCUUUAAUUCCUAAAAUAUAAAUACUAUACAUGCCAGAAACUAUUCUAACGUGACUUUUAAUGUGACUAUUAAAAUGAGGUUUCACUGUACAUUCAUGCUGUGAUGAGAUUUCAGCAUGUACAUGUAUAUGGAUACAGAAAAUAAGCCCUCAUUUUCCUGCUUUAAGUUACAGCCAAGUUACCACCAAAUCACAACUAUCAUCACCACCAAAAUUUUCAAAAACAGUUGUUGACUACUAAAAGGUAAUCAGUGGACAGGUCUUUUUUGGGAGCAGUAAGCACAGUGGUGUGAUUAUAUCUGGGAAAACAUCUAAGUUGUACAGCUGUAUCCUCCUCAAAAUCCGGUGAAGAAUGCUAUUUUUCUAGGCUGAGCUUUUGUUAUAAACCUAAUAUUCAGAAGGCAAGAGUUACAAUCCUGAUGUGUCUUUUUUUUUUUUUUUGCAUUUGUUAAUUCUGAAUGUAUUUUUAACAGAGUGAUUUUUUUGACUUACUAGUGUAAUUUGCAUUUUAAAAAUAAAUGGAAAAACGAUUAUGUUUCCGAGCCAUCCCUAAGCCCCUGCGCUUCUCGCGGUGUAUUUCCUUAUGUCAUUGAAAGGGAAACGCUAUUAAAUUUACAUGAAGGCAACGCUGAUGCUCUGUGCAGUGCAGGGAUGUGUCAGCAGUGAGACGAAAUUGCCAGGUCACGGCACCAUUUUUGCUCAGUCAUAGGUAACAUGUCCUUUCAUUAUCUCCUGACACUGAGGGUUCUUUUAGAAGACUGCCUGCAAUGGACUUGCUGUCAUUUGGAGACGUUCUUUGUUUCCUUCUAUCUGGGAUGUAGAGUUAGCAUCAAGCUAAUGGUUGAUAGAGGUGUAUGGACACUAUAUUAAAGACCUUCGGUUAAAUUGUAGGUAGAAUUUUUCAUUUUGAUAGGCCAAAUUAUUUUCAAUAAAAUAAUUUAAAAUACUCAUUUAUUGCCCCUUUGAUGACAGAAUCUUUUUCGUUGUUGUUGUUAGAAUAUUGUUAUUCACCUCAAUAGAAGACAACUAUUGUGAAGCAUGUUGGCAUAAAGUGGGCAAAUAGAAAAGGUUGACCCCUGCAUUAAUGAUUGCAAACAUAAUUUCAGCUGAGGUUCAUUGUAUGUACCAAAAGGUUCAAGGGCAGCAGGCACAGGCUGCUCCAGGCUCAGGCUGCUGGUGAGGUUGUAUCCUUCCUCCCACAGCCCACAGACAUACACCAGCCCCCGUCAGUCAAAAUGCUGAAGUUGAUCAAAAACAAGGAAGGCUUUGGGCAGUGUUCUAAGAAGCUGAAGAUCAACUUCUAAUACUUGACUUCUCAUCCCACAUGGUGAGAAUCUUAUAAAUGAUCAAGCCUACUUUUACUUUUGUUCCCUGCGUGAAAAGUAUACUGAUGUUCAUUGAAGUGGAUGUGAAUGACUCAGGAUAUUUCUUUGCACUGUGAAGUCAAAUGCACACAACAUCUCAGUUGCAUGUAAAGGGAUAGAAUGAAUAAAUCAAAUACAUAUGCAUUUUCAAGAUACGAAAAUGCACACACACACCCUCUUUAAAAAGAUUCCCUCUUCUGGAGUUCCCGAUUAAAUAAAUUGUGAAUUUGGUAAAUACUAUAAUAGAUGGAACCAAGAUCUGCAUUUGGCAACUAUUAAAAAAUAUAACCUCUAAUACAGUGAAGCAAAUAUUCAACAUCUCACUGUACUAUAACGAGUGGACCCCUUUAAUUCAGAAAUACACACUCAUUUUAAAUAAUAAAGGUCACAUUGUAAAACAAAAGCUUGAGAUCCAAAUCUAUUCAUUAUAGAGACAGUAAAUUAAGGCCUAGAGAGUUUAAGAAACUCAAGAGGUCAAGAUUAACCAUAAAUCCUGAAAAUGCAAAUAACUUACAAUUCUACAACAAAUUCUAGGAUGUGUACUCUGGUCAGAAUAGAAUAAAUCAAAUAUCAGAUACUGGCAACUGACCCUGGAUUUUAUAAAUUCAAAUUAACCUUGAUAAGAAAGACUCUAGGCAGUAUUAAACCAUAAAAUGCUCCUGAAUUAUUGUUUUUAGGUUUAGUAUAGUUUCAUUGUCAAAUAUAUUUUAUCAUAGUUAUUUUAAAAACCAAUAAUCCAUGUUAUGUAAACAUGUAUAUAUGAUAUGGCCUCAUAUGUUUAAUAUUACUCAAUUAUGUUCAGGCUUAGGGUUAGAAGUGCUUCUUUUACAGUACACUUAUGAAUAACUAAUAUUAGAGAGAUAAAGAUUAUCUAAGCAGUCCUAUCUUGAGUACUUCCUAUACUUGUCAAGAUAAUCUUUCUUCAGACAUUGUAUCUGUCUUUGCUAAAAUUUUAGCACUCAACACUUGUACUCAGGAAGAUUUGAUAUGAAUAUCCUUACAUUGUAAAAUCCUCAAUUAUUGUCAUCACAUAUGAAUCUUUGCUUAGGAUCCAUGUCUAAUCCUCUCUUCAUUUUAUUAUAUCUAUCUUCUACCCACUCCCAAUAAAGAAAGCAAAAAAAAAAAUCUGUGAUUGGUAUAUUAUGUCCAGUUUAAAACACACUGGUAUAUUAAAAUAAUCACUUUUGAUAGCUAUGAAAGCAAAAUUUCUAAGACAUUAAUGUAUUCUAUGCCUUUUAAUUCGACAAGAAUUGAACUUGCACUAGAUAAUACAUUCAGGGAUCACAUUUACCACUGAAAUCUGCACCCGAAUCAUGAGUUAUGAUUGCCAGUGGCAACAAAGAAAACGAAGCUGAAUUCCUCCUAAAAGGGAUAAAGGCAGAUAUUUUUUAUACUCUCUAGAAUUAUAAUGAGGUCAUUUUUUAAAAAAAUCUUUACACAUCCUGGAGUUUAGAAGCAAAUGAGCUUAAGAUGUUGAUGGGUAAUGAGAGCUGAUUUCUGUAAGAUAAAUUCAGAGAGGAAAAAUCCUUUUACAAGCCACAUGUUAUGCUCUUACAUGGUCAACUGUUAUUAAAAUUAAUAUGAGCCUUUUCUAUAAUAAGAGUACCUUAAUAAAACACGUAUAUUUUUUAACUGCUCAUUCUGCUCACAUAUGAAUUUAAGCUGUAACUGCAAUGGAACAAAACAACUCCCAAAAAAGAUUGCAAAUUGAUGCUGUCACCCCAAGGAUGAUAGAUUGAUUCAAUUAAUCAGUAAGUCUUUCCUAAGAGUCCUUCAGGGAGGUAUUUACCAGAGGCAUACCCUGUUUAUUCCCUUUCAUGAGCCUGUCAUUUUUCUUCAUUAUUCUUCUAGUUUUACUCAUUAUAUCUCUUGGGGAUAUGCUGAUCGCCGUGUGCAGAAGGUUUUACACACAGCUGUCUGGACAUAAAUCUUCCAAGCUUCAAACUGGAGGCCACCAGAACACCUGCGUCUCUUGUCAUUGUUAACUCUGACUUACCUAGAUGCUCUCGGGAGGAAGUCAAAUGAAUGGACACUGACUCACAAAUGGUAAAUCAAUGGGAAAGUAUCAAACUGAGUGAAGGCUAUGAAAAAUCCUCCAUUCAUAAAGAUGCAACAACCUGUGCUCCACACACCAUGGACCUGGCCUCGCUAUAUGACAUCCCUGUCUCUAAAAGCAGAUAGGUAGGGAAAGACAGAGGGCUACGAGGCUGAGACCUAUGCCAGUAAUUCAUGGUAAAACAAAACACAUUUGGUGAUUGUGUUGUUUUGGAUGCUGAAAGAUAAAUAAAUAUUCUUAAACAUGAAACUUUUCUAUUUCUAG